CGGAUUGUUCGAAGUCGCCAUGUUUCGCUCUUCUGCUCCGUUUUCCUUCAAUGGUCAGUGUCGAGCGGCGCGCGGUGAGGACGCACAGCUUCCGGUAGAGGCGCACCACACAGGCCUCCCUCCUGCUGCUUUCCAGCUGAGCAGACACACAAGGUGAAUGGACAACACACUCCUCGGGCUACUCAUGUGGAGACACUUGAGCUUGCGUGUGAAAAAGAAAGGAGCGGGAUCCCUGUGCUGUGUUUGCUGCACGUUUCCCCCCAAUGAAUUACACUGUAAAUGCAUCAGUUGGUAGUAGAUAAUCUGUGCAUGUCUGUACCUGCUUCCUGACUGCAGUGAGAACUUCACUCUCACGGUUUCUGCUGCUACAGAAACGGCUGCAUGCACGACACCAAAAACACCUUUGAGGUUUCUUUCUGAUAAUGCAUGAAGGUCAGUGAAAACGUCUCGCGUACAAAUUCAAAUCCACGUAAAACAUUUCAAGCAUUUGUUUUGCUAGAAGGCCGAACACCACACCUACUAUGAUUGUAUAAUUUUUUUUCUCUCAGUCAGCGAAGGCACAGUGGAGCUGUUUCACCUGCCAUUAAGCGGAGUGUAAUUUGGUUGUAAAGUAACCAUGGUAACUUAGAAAAAGAAAUGACUCCAGGGCAGGUGGAGAGAAGGAGUCUGAGCGCAGGAUUAUUCUCUUAUUGCCGAAUAAGCCUCCAGGGGGGAGAAAGCUUGAAGCUGAGCCUGUUGGUAAUGGCCUGUUAAAAUGAGAAGAAGCACGUGUUGUGGAGGAUUUCUGUAUCCAGCUGUCCUCCGUCAGAUAUUGUUAAUGUUUACCUAAUGCAAACACGCUGCAGUAACAAUAACAGCGCAGCGAGCAGCAGCGUCUCUGUUGGUGCACAGCUGUAAGGCAAAGUUUCACUUCACUUUGUCAGCGACACCUGAAAGUCUGAGAGUCAUUUUGGGACCUUUGAGCCCAUUUUCAGACACUUGGUUUGUGGCAAACAGAAGGUUAAGAAAAAGUUCAUUGCUGAAGCCUGUGACAUGGGGGCUGUUUUGUGAUCAGUAAAGGCCCAUUUCUGUCUUCUCGAGUGUCACAAAAAUGUCUCCUAAAUAUAGUAGCAGUGUUGUGUCAUGAACAACAGCUCUGUCCUGAAGCAUAAUAUUCCUCCAAUUGUGUCCAUGAACAAUACAUACUGAUGAAGUAAUAAAUAUUCUGCCUUUUUUCCAGGAAAUUUAAGUUUAUUUGCACAAAACUACAGUAACCUUUGUGGUUAAAACUUCACAAUAAAAGAUUCUGCAUGUAAAAAUCUUGAGAUACAAUUAAAACUCAUGCUGGUGUUUAGCAGGUAUAGAAUUUUUACUAUAUCCACUGCAGCUUUCUCUUGCUUCUUUUUGCUAAUUAUUCCUUGAACAAAGCAUAGUUGAGACUGAUGGAAAAUGGAACUGAAUUAAAAGUCAAUCAAGACAGAUGCUGGAUAAAAUCUGACCUGAUGAUGGCACUAGAUGGAGUCUUUAGGCUUCAUCAUCAGCAAACCAUUAACAUCUGAACCAAAUCUAUCACAACAGAGAUAUUUUACAAAAGAGGUAAAAACUUUGACAUACUGUUGGUACAAAAGGAAACGUCAGGGGAUCAAAUUUCCAUCCAUCCAUAAUCUGUAAACCACUUAAUCCUCAUUAGAGUAAUGGGGGUUGGAGUCUAUUCCAGCGGACUUAUGGCUGAUCGGUGUAUAACAUUUGACAUCUUAAGACAAGGACAUAUAUUCCUCUCAGGAGUUGGUAGAAACUCUGAGUUGACCAAAUAUGAGGCUAACUUAAUAUUAGAUGUGAUAUUCACUAUUUUUAUAUUAUCAGUAGAGCUACGGUUUUACCAAUUCCCAACAAAAAUUAAUUUAAAAAUGGGUUACUUUGAUGCAGCUACUUAUCUCUUUAUGUAGUCGAGUAAUGUCGGGGCCACAGCACUAUCUGAUUAGCUACAUGUUACAAGUAAAAGUCUAUCAACACUGAAGGAUUAAAUUUAUCUAAAACAUCCAUCCAUACAUUGUCUAUACACCGCUUAAUCCUCAUUAGGGUCGUGAGGUGCUGGAGUCUAUCUGACUUAAAGUGAAGGUAGGAGACAUCCUGGACAGAGCUACAUACAGAGACAAACAUUCACACUCACAUUCACACCUACAGACAAUUUACAAUUACCAGUGAACCUCAGCAUGUUUUUAGACUGUGGAAGGAAGCCGGAGUACCCAGAGAAAACCCACGCAUGCACAGGGAGAACAUGUUAACUCUAUCCAGAAAGAUCCCCCAAAGGCAGGGACGCGAACCGGGGAUCUUCUAGCUGUAAGGUGACAGUGCUAACCACUAAGGCACUGUGCAGCCCUCCAGUCAAAUUUAUUUAUGUUUACUGCACCUUUUUAAACAACCUGAGAUGAUGAAAGUGAUGCACAUGUCAUAGGAGAGUGAAGAACAAAAAUAUGUGCAAAAAAACCAGACAGAAUAAAGACUUGCAAAAUAAAUGUGUAUGCUAAAAAUCAAGGCAAAGCAGGAGUUGUGAGAUCACAAUUCUAAAAAAUAAUACAGACCAUUAAAAGCAAUCAGAAACAUUUAAAAUAUGUGUGUCUUGUCACUGCUGCCACUCCAAAGGCACUCUUUAACCCACUAGUCUUGAUCAACAAUUAGUAACUAGUGCAGUUAAAGCUGCUGUUCUGAGGAUCUAAGAGGUUUUGAGGAAGACUACAAGCGUUAUGAUUCAUCCUCUGGGUCUCAUGAAUGUCUUCUGUUGAGACACUCAAGCCAUUCUUAUAACUGUGUAGAAUCUCUUCCAGGACCGACAGACAUGCAGUAAUAUAAUUCUAAUGUUUAGGAUCGCUGAGGGGUUGCUUUUAUCAUCACAAACUCAAACUGAGAGUGAGAUACUGUUUCAACAGAACCGAAAAAGACUCUCAUAGGAAUUGACACCUUGGUAUGUGCGAUAUUUGUCAGCCAGCGGUGACUAAACUUUCAAAAAAGGGGAUGUUUGAAAUCAACUCAGCCACAAAAACCUAAGGAAGAAUCAUCACUUUAUCGAGGAAUUUUCCGAAAACUCUGCACAUGGAUGAUUACAAUCUUCCAUGUGCAGAGAGAAAGCACAGAUUAAAUGUGGCGUGUUGCAUUGGUGUACUGUGCAUGUGGGCACUGACACUCACAGCAGAGGGAGACAAAGGUCCUGUUGAUCUGUGUGUGUGUUUGGUAGUUUUACCUAAGAGUUUUAUCACAAUCACUUAUCAAUCCUGCUUUAUAUGAGGGGAGAUCAUUUUAACUGUAGGUGGAUUAAAGCUUGUUUUAUCUCUCAUCUCAUGCGUGAGUGUGUGUUAUGCUCAUAAAUGACUAAGUCGGUCCCAGUCCAUAAAGCUUUAUUAUAUAAAUCCCGUAAAUGUUACACGCUUUUAUCUGUCAAUUAUUUACUUAAUAGAACAACUUGCAACUCUUUCAAACAUAACUUGCUUUAGCUAAAAUUUAAAAACUUUUAGCAACAAAAAAAAAAAAAAGAAAUAGUUAUGAAAUCCAAAGUUUCUUCUCUUCAUAUUCUCUAAUUUUAUGAUGGUCAGAUUGGAUUUUUGUGCGAUGAGUCACAAAGUUUAUUACAACAGUAAUCCAGCUCCUGCCUGUCAGCAGAUGUCUCUUUUAAAGCUUUUACAGGAAACCCUCCAGUUUCGGCUCAUUUUUGCCCAGUUCCACGAUUUCAAUAAAAGGGGAACUGUUGCAAGUGUGAGGUGUUGAAGAUAAACUGCAUGACUUUGCUCGCAGCGCAGACCUUGACCCACAGCGCUGGAGCUUUGCAUGAGCAUGAAUCCUAAUCAAACUGGUAUCUCGAGAAAUGACACCGACUUCUCCCAGACCCCCAGCUCCUCUGCAGGUCUAGCUGUGGGGCUCACACUCUUCUUUCUGCUGCUUGCGAUCAUCAUUGCUGGGGUCGUGUACAAAUUUCACAGUAAAAUCAGGAGCACAGUGCAGUUUAGACAAGGAAGAAGGCAGGAAAAGGAGGACCCUACAGAGCCCCCGCAACCUGAACCCCAUCAGUACACCAGCAUGAGGAGGGAGCAAUCAACAGGACAGACCCCUAUCUAUGAAAACCUGGCAACUCGAAAUGUUGGGUGCAGCCAGCCUGCGGCCGACGAGAGCAGGUCACCUGCUGAACCUGAGGAGGAUGUGUACCUUCAGUGUGAUACACCAGAUGAUGCAAUAUACAGCAAUGACCCAGCAUUUAACUCAGUACCCCCAGAUUUCCAGGAAGAGGACUUGUAUGUUGUGCCAGAUGCUUUGUAGGGAAAAUCUGCACUAAUGCCUGAAUAUUUUACUCUGUAUAAUGUGCACAAAGAGCUGCGUGGAUUGCUUUGUGGUAUCGAUGUAUAUGGUUAGAAGGCAGCGCGAUUCUGCUACUGCUUUUUGAUAGAGACUGACUGUAAACAUAAAUUAUUAGAUAAACAGAACAAGUGUGUAGUUUAAGAUUAUUUUUAUGUUUUAAAGUUAGGAUUGCUGUUUUAUCUGUGUAGAUGUUGUUGCUUGUGGUCCUUUAUCUCUACAUUUUUGGGCAGAAUUAGUUUUUUAUUUUUUUGUUUUCGAUGACCAGCAUUCAUUAAGUAGAUUUUUUUUUAACGGUACAGGGAAUAUUAUGAUAAUAUUGGACACAAUGUACAAAUUAACACAUUCUGACAACAAUCCAAAGUAAUCAAAUUGCUAAUUAGAUUAGACUGUUUUAUGGCAUUCUCUUGAGACAACUGAAAUUACUCGUGAAUCAUUUUUCUGUUGUACGUGUACAGUAUUCUGCAGUUGUAGUUUUUUUUUGUAUUGCUGCUUUCUUUGUAUACACUCAGUAAAAUAACUGGAACCAGGAAUGGUUGUUCUUUGUAGUGAUGCUUUACAAAAAACAUUUUUAGCUCCACAGUUAGCUUUUUUUGCAAGAGGUUCUUUACAGAGCUCCCAAAGGUGCUUCAAAGCAAGUUCAAGUUCAAGUUUAUUUGCCAUUUGCAGUAUAAAACCACAUUGGAAAAAAAGGUGCAAGAGCUCAAAGUGCACCGUCAACAUCUAAAAAACAACAGCAGUACAGAAGAAAGUAAAACAAUAACAAAACAGAGAACAUAACAAACAAUGCCACAUAAAAUACCUAAAAAUAAAAUGCUAAAAACCAAUAAAUAGUUCGUAACAGAAAUAAAAAAGCACCUUAAAAACAAUUCCUUUAGGCAUAAGAUGUAACACUCCAAAAUUCUUUUGAAAAAAAAAAAAGGUUCUUUAGGGAAUUUUUAAGCAAAAAAAAGUUGAACAUCUGCAUCCUUUCUAUGAUAUUUCAUUUAUUAUUUUGGGCUCUGGACAAUUCUGGAAUUUUACAUUUCCCACUGUUCCCUGAUGUUUUGUAGACCAAAUUAUGACUCAUAAUGAAAAUAAUGAAAUAGUUGCAGCUCUAUUAUACCAAACCAAAUAGCUUAAAUAACAUUGAGGAACCUUUCAUGCUACAUAUGUUAAGAAACGUCCCCUAAAUAAAGAGGUUCUUCAACUGGUAAUGGUGCUUACAAAACCAGAGAGUCAUCUGAGGAACCAUUAUUUCUUGAGAAAUUUUAUCAGUUGUGUUUAAAAUAAACCCAAAGAGAAAAAUGAGUCCUUAAUACAUUGAAAAUUCAAGAACAGAGUGUGUGAAUAUAGAAAUAUGUUAUAUGUUUAUGUUUCAGUAGGUGGAUGUGCAGCUUUACACACAUGGGUAGGAAGUUCCAUUUUAUCGAUUUGUUUAUGUUCAUAUUUACAUUUUUAUGAACAAUUAGUUUUUGACAAACUAAUUUUAUCAAAGUCUGUCUUAAGAACACCAUGACUGGUUCCAAUGAUUUCACCAAAUUAACUCAAAAGCUAAAACUUGGUUUGCUCUGUACAGUCUUUUAAAAUGCUGCAUAAAACAUAUGAGAAGAAGCAAUACAAGCAUAAAAUACAUAAAAAAUGUGUUUUUUAGGGAAUAACAUGGCUUGAGGUUUUGUAUUUGGUUGAUUUUCUCGUGUUUGUUUUUGUUAUUACGUAUUCUGUUUAUGUAUAAUUUACAUAUUGUAUUUAAGUUAAUCAAAUGUGAAGUGCUUGCUGCUUUGUUGUGUUGUUUGGUCACUUACACAUUGUGAAAUAUAAGUAAAAUCUUACACAAAAUGUCUUUCAGCAUCAAUUUUUUAAAAAUGCAAUGUGGUGCUCUGGUACAGAAGAAUAUUGAGCAAGAAAAACUGAACAUUCAUAUCAUGUGUCCCUGAAAUCUGAGUCCAGUAGAUGCUGGUCUGUGGAGCCUUUUAGCUGGGAAAAUAGCAAAAAAACCAAAACAUGAUUCCUAUUAGUAAUUCAUAAAAGCAGGCAUCUGUGUGUACGAAGAAAACAUGGAUGUCACCAUCAAGCCCUGAGAAAAUGAAAGACUCUGCACAGCUUUAUUUAUUUUGUGGUUCAUCAGUUUUUCAGAGGACACCUGCAAAGAGGAUGUGAAAAUAUUUCUGAACUUUUAAUAGUUUCAGUCCAGAUUCACUGCCUCACUGCACUGUAAAACCACAUCAUGGAGUUGAACCAAACUGACUUAUAUUUUUGAUUUUACUUGAAGUAAAUAUAUCAGUUUUGCUCAUUUCUAGUUAACUGAAGCUGAAAUGUCUAAUUUUUAUGUUCCAACCGUUUAAACAUGAGUUCUUAUAACUUCAACUAUUGACUUAAAAAGAUGAAUUGAUUAAGCGAGCAACUGAGAGUUUACUUAAUUCAUCAAAAAUAGCUUAUAUGGGGGGAAAAAUGAUGUGCACUACCAGUCAAAAGUUUGGAACCACCUUCUCAUUCAAUGCUUUUUAUUUAUUUGUAUUAUUUUUUACAUUGUAGAUUAAUACUGAAGAUAAACACUUUUUUGUUUACAACAUAAUUCAGUGUUCCCACGCGUCCUGGAAAACCUGAAAAACCUGGAAAAUGAUUGACCAAUUUUCCAGGAAAACAUAUGGAAAAUGAGAAAAAGGUCAGAUGUCAUGGAAAUGGUUAACUUAUCCUGGAAAAGUAUUUAUUCUCUCUCUGUCAAUGCAAACGGGUUAAAAAUUAAACACCUGCAUGUAUGUUGUCACCUUAUCUUCAGGGCAACGUUAAGGCAUAGCGCUUCUCUGCUUCUAGCCGGGGCAGCGCCCCACGUGACGCUACCAGCCAAUCAAAUUUGCAUUUCCGCUUUGAGCAGUUCUGCAACCCAGUUCUUCCAACUGACUUUGUCGCUACAUUCAGCGACUUUUCAGACCCCAUUAAGGACUUAUCGCCUAGAGACAAAACUAGUGACUGUAAGUUGAAAAGUGUGGCUAAUGUUGGACCACGAGUGUGACGGUUUUCUCUCCCAUGGCCGGCCACAGGCUCUUCUCUGUCCUCCAUUGAGUGACAGGCAGAGGAGAGUUCUAGCGGGCGUGUCGUUACUGAUUGGCUGUACGCUGCGAGAUGCAACACAUCUCUGAUUUCAGCACAGCGGGAACUUAACAAAUAAUCUUAAUGGGCCACAUUUCACUCAGUAUUUCAUAUUUGUUUUAUUUAUGUAGUAAAGAACACUUCCGAAGAAUGAGGAGGACGGGAAUGUGUUAGUGUAUGACGUGAAAAUGUGUGUCUGUACCAGCUGAAAAUGUCCUGGAAAGUCCUGUAAAAUAAUUUCAGGGAAAGAGUGGGACCCCUGAUAAUUCCAUAUGUAUUAUUUUAUAGUUUUGAUGUCUUCAGCAUUAAUCUACAAUGUAGAAAAUAAUUAAAUAAAAAAUAUUGAAUGAGAAGGUGUGUCCAAACUUUUGACUGGUAGUGUAAGUAGAUUUCUUAGGCACAAAGAUUGUCUUUGUACUGACCCCUGUAAAAAAAAGAAAAGAAA